UAAUAAGAAACAAAUUAUUGUAAUUAGUUUCGACCUAACCCUUGAUGUUUAAUCAUCCUUAUUUU
rnacentral:tRNA from 1 species